UAAAAGUCACAUUAAAUUUAUAUCCUAAAUAAUCUUGUAUCAAAUACAUAAAACCAUAGAAAAGUCAUAACUCCUUCGUUUUAACUCCGAUUUGAUCCGUUCAAGUUGCGUUAGUCUCAUAGAAAUGUGUAGAUCAUUAUUAUUCAGUUUGUUUCUAUGUUUGGUGUGAUGUUAAUUUUAUCUAUACCAUGUUUGUUUGUAUUGCUACGACUAGCAGCGAGGUUACGAGUUACUUGAAGAGCAAGUUGGUACCUGGAAUCUCAAGUGCCAGGCAAGUUGUGCCCUUGAUCACUUACUUUUCCCAGCCAUGUUCUUAUUAAUUUUAAUGAUCUGCAUAGGUUAAUUUUGAUGGGAGCCUUUAUGUUACCCCAGUUUUGAUUACCUCUAUACCUUGUUCACCCCUGAAAUAUUUUUGGGUAGUACUUGCUAUUGCUUUAUGUGGAUUGGGUAUGGAGAUACACUAAUCAUGAUUAUUCUGUUAUUAUCUUGUUAUUAUUAUUGUUCAUGUUAAGAUCAUUAAAUUAAUGGGAACAUGGAGCGACCACCCGGGAAAACAGUGCUACCACAAGGGUAUAAUGGGACGCCCUUGGCUGAUUAACUAGGAAAGCUAGUGGAGGUCUUCCUUACCCGAAAGGGGCAAGGGCAGUAGGGGAGUGGUCAGUGUAGGGAGGUCCUUGGUUGAUUUUGCUGCGAUGGCGGUCAGGCAAGAACCCUGCACUAGAGCUUCGUAUAAACUGUAGCGGGAUUUCUGAAGCUAGUGGAACUUUGUAAAGGCCUCGUAGUGUUACCCUGCCUCGCCUCCUCGGUAGAGGUGUAUGGGAUUGGCCAUCUCUUGGCAGAUGGGUAACAUGACUUGUGGGUAAAGAUGCGCAACCUCUGCAGAGUGUAAAACUGGUAUACUAGCCGUGCUCACGGUCAUGAGCGGCUCGGACCCUCACAUGAUUAAUUUAUGGAACUUAAAUUCAAUUUGACAUUUGCAUCGCAUUUGGGAUUAUUUUACUAUUACUUUAUUUAUUAUUAUUAAGGUUUGGUAUUUACUUACACUUAGUAAUUGCUAAUAAAAUUUUGACCAACUUAUAAAAGCAAUGCUCAGCUUCAGCCUUUAUUCCAUUGAUCAGCCUUACACUUCAUGAACUCCCACCUUCGGUGAGUUCAUGCCACAUUAUUCCCCACGACUUGUUGAGCUAUGAACAUAUGUGAGCUCACUCUUGCUGUCUCACACCCCCCCAUAGGAGAAGAACAGGUGGUUCAGGAGGAGCCACAAGGCGAGGAGUUUGAUCUGAUCUAGGUGGCGAUUCUCAGUUGACAUUUGCGCCGACGAUCCUUAGUUCGUUUUAUAUUUACUCUUUUAUUUUGUAAUAAGUCUUCCGCUAUGUAAUAAAUACUCUGAUGUUAUUGUGACAUUUAUCUCUAUACACUCUGUUAUUAUAUAUGUUGUCUUCUUGGCGCAUGUAUGAGAUGCACCUGGCUUUGUUCCUUAAAGCCGGGUGUGACAGAAGUGGUAUCAGAGGAAAUGUUGACUGUAGGACGAAACCUAGAUAGAAAUGGACAAACCUUUCCUACUUACCUUACUCUGAUUCUCUCUAUACUUAUCUUGAUCAUGUCUCACCUUCUACUGUUCUACUCUGAUGAUUCUUACCUUUUCUAUUCUAAGACAAGAUGGAUUUCACACCUUGGAAUCCUACAUUUAUGAACUUUUUUUUAAGAGAUAGGAGACCUAAGACGAAAUUAAAAUUAUUUUCUCUAUUAAAAAUGUUGGAUGAUUGUUCUGAUGAUAAAUGCUUGAUUUGCUUCUUUGAUUGAUUGAAACAUUAUAGUUGGGCAUCUUAGCAUGUACCACCAUAAGGUAAUGUAUUAGCUUUAGUGGAUAAAACACUAAUCUACUUAGCUAAUAAAUCUACCGCAGUAACAUUCCUCGUAAUUACUCGCCUUGUCUACAAUUCUUCCCUUCUUAUCCUGUGUUUCUAACCCAGAUGGGCUAUACCCCUAUAGUGUUAGAAGAGAGCACUAUAGACUUGAUCCCUGGUAUAUCAUGGUUAAGAAAGGCAAAGGCAGUAUAUACACUGUGCUAAGGGAACCGUAGAACUCACCAGUUCCAAGGGACAAAGAUUUGAAGUUGAAGUUGCAGUAACUACCACCAUCAGACUAGCAGCAUUCUUAGUAGAUGAGAAGUUUGUUGGUGAUAACAUCCGGGUGGUUAGAGAUUUUCCGGAUGUCUUUCUAGAGGAGUUACCAAGGAUGCCACCAGAUAUGGAAGUUGAGUUGGUCAUUGAUCUCUUACCUGGGGCUGCUCCUAUUUCUAAACGGCCAUAUAGGAUGUCCAUAGAAGAAUUAAAGGAGCUUAAGAAACAGUUAACAGAGUUGCAAGAGGUUGGGUAUAUUCGUCCGAGUUCCUCACCUUGGGGAGCACCGGUGUUAUUUGUGCAGAAGAAGGAUGGAUCGCAACGGAUGUGUGUGGACUAUAGAUCACUCAAUGAUGUCACGGUGAGGAACAAGUAUCCAUUACCCCGUAUUGAGGAUUUGUUUGAUCAGAUGAGAGGAGCCAGGGUAUUCUCGAAGAUUGAUCUCCGAUCGGGAUACCAUCAGAUGAAGAUUAGACCCUCAGAUAUUCCUAAGACGGCUUUCUCAACCCGAUAUGGAUUAUAUGAGUUUACUGUUAUGUCAUUUGGAUUAACCAAUGCACCGGCUUAUUUCAUGAAUUUGAUGAACAAGGUGUUUAUGGAGUAUUUGGACAGAUUCGUCGUGGUGUUUAUCGACGAUAUUCUUAUCUAUUCUAAGAAUGAAAGUGAUCAUGAACAACAUCUAAUGUUGGUGCUACAGAAGCUGCGAGAUAAUCAACUCUAUGCUAAGUUCAGCAAGUGUAAGUUUUGGAUUGACAAGGUGCCAUUCCUUGGUCAUAUUAUUUCUAAUGGAGGAAUAGCAGUGGAUCCUGCUAAAGUGAAGGAGAUAAUGGAGUGGAGAGUGUCCACUACAGUUACUGAGAUUCGGAGUUUCUUGGGACUUGCAGGAUAUUAUCGGAGAUUUAUUGAACGAUUCUCUAAGAUUGCCAAGCCUAUGACCUCGCUUUUGGAGAAAGGAAGAGAAUUCAAGUGGGAUGAGAAAUGCCAAGAAAGCUUUGAUGAAUUGAAGGAGAGAUUGAUGUCACCACCAGUAUUGGUUAUGCCAGACCUACAGAAAGGAUUUGAUAUUUAUUGUGAUGCAUGUGGCCAAGGCUUAGGAUGUGUGCUCAUGCAAGAAGGGCAUGUGAUCGCCUAUGCGUCUCGUCAGUUGUGGAAACACGAGUUGAACUACCCCACUCAUGACUUGUAACUGGCAGCCGUUGUGCAUGCACAUAAGAUUUGGAGGCACUACAUUAUGGGAACUAAGUGCCAAGUAUACACGGAUCAUAAGAGUUCGAAGUACAUAUUCACUCAGAAGGAUCUCAACCUUAGGCAACGCCGUUGGUUGGAGCUCAUUAAGGAUUAUGAUUUGGAGAUUCAUUACCACCAAGGCAAGACAAAUUUGGUUGCAGAUGCCUUGAGUCGGAAGGAGCAUGUUCACUCCGCUUUCGUUGUCCAGCUACCCGAUGAGAUUGUUGAGGAUUUCAGGAGACUUAACCUGGGGAUAGUUGCUCACACUAAAGGAGUUAUUAAUGAUGUGGAACUUACCUUGGAGCAAGAAAUCCGCAGAAGGACAGAUUGGUGAUGCUAGAUACAAGAGAUUAGGGAUCUGAUUACUAAAGGUCGAGGUCCGGAAUUCACGGAAGAGGAGCAAGGCACAAUAUGGUUCAAGGAGCGGAUAUGAGUCCCCAAGAUUGAUAGCCUUCGUGAGACUAUAUUGAAGGAAGCCCAUGACUCGGAUUAUUCUAUUCAUCCUGGUAGUACCAAGAUGUAUCAGGAUUUGAAGCAGAAAUAUUGGUGAUAUGGAUUGAAGAGAGAUGUGGUUGCACAUGUGGCUAUGUGCGAUGUGAGUCAAAGAGUUAAGGCUGAACACGAGAGGCCAGUUGGACUAUUAUACCCAUUAAAGAUACCCGAGUGGAAGUGGAAAGAGAUUGGUAUGGACUUCAUUACUGGUUUGCCUCACACCCCGAAAGGAUAUGAUUCGAUAUGGGUGAUUGUGGAAAGACUGACCAAAGUGGCUCACUUCAUUCUGGUCAAGACUACUUAUAAGGGAUGUCAAUUGGUAGAGUUAUAUAUAGCUCGGAAUGUGGCUUAACACGGUGUACCGAAGAAGAUCAUUUUGGAUAGAGGAUCAUAGUUUACCUCCAUAUUUUGGAAAAGUUUUCAUGAGAAUAUGGAUACGAAGUUGAAUUUUAGUUUGGCCUACCAUCCUCAGACUGAUGGACAAACUAAAAGGACUAAUCUAGUAUUGGAAGACAUGUUGAGAGCUUGUGCCCUUCAGCAUUGUAGUAGUUGGGACAAGAGUCUACCAUAUGCUGAGUUCUCUUAUAAUAAUAGCUAUCAGGCCAGUUUGAAGAUGUCACCGUUUGAAGCUUUGUAUGGCAGAAAGUGCAGGACUCCAUUGUAUUGGGAUCAAACUGGUGAAAGGCAGUUGUUUGGACCUGAGAUUAUACAAGAAGCAGAAGAACAAGUCCAGCAAAUAAGGGAGAAUUUGAGAACUGCGCAGUCAAGAAAGAAAAGCUAUGCUGAUACCCGGAGAAGACUGUUUGAGUUUAAGGAGGGAGAUUAUGUCUAUUUGAAGGUGUCACCACUCCGGGGUAUGAGAAGAUUUAAAGUCAAAGGGAAGUUGUCCCCUCGUUUCAUUGGACCCUUCUUUAUCUUAAAGCGAGUGGGAGAGGUUGCAUAUCAAUUGGAGCUAUCGGAUCAUCUUGCGGAUGUUCAUGAUGUUUUUCAUGUAUCUCAGCUGAAGAAAUGUCUCAGGGUACCUGAGGAGCAAUUACCAAUGGAGGACCUUAGUGUUCAAGAUGACCUAACUUAUGCUGAGUACCCCAUCAAGAUUUUGGAUACUUUGACUCGAGUUACAAGGAAUAAGGUUAUAAAGAUGUGUAAAGUGCAAUGGAGCCACCACGGUGAAGAUGAAGCAACUUGGGAAAGAGAAGAAGAGCUUCGUAUAGAUUUUCCCCACCUUUUCUCUAGAUCUUCCUAAAUCUCGAGGACGAGAUUAUUUUUAAGGGGGGUAGGAUUUGUAAUACUCCAAGUUGUAUACCAAGAAUAAUAGAGAGUUAUCCUCAAUCCUAUGUGCCUCAUUUGCAUCAUAAGAAAAGAGCACACACACAAUUUAGAGAUUAAGUCAAGCAAACGAUAAAAAAUUGCAUCAUGCUGGAGUUUAUAUGUUUGUGCAUUAAAUGAAAUAAUAACGUUAAUGAUAAUAAGAUAAUAAUUACUAGAAAGCUUGAAUCCUAAAUUGAGAAUUUGGGUUUGAAUUAAGAAAAGGGAAGAACUGAGAAAAAUACUACAUAAAAUAAAAAUAAAAAUCAGAAUAAAUACCUUUCACACUUAUAUUAUUAAACUAUACAUUUCAAACUGAGGACAAGUUAUUCACAAAUUUUGAAUUUAAACUUGAAUUCAAAUUGGAUUUGAAAAUGGAGAAAAAAAGGGGAAAAGAAAAGAAUAAAACAAAGCUACCCUAACUGGGCCCCAACUUCGUUUUCGGCCCAUUACUCCAUCACCAACCGCACGGCCCAGAUGAUGCACCAGGCGCAUGGGGGGUAUGACAUGGUGGCCCCACGUCGUCAGGCGCAUCCUGUGUUGUUGCACGCACAGCGGAAGCAAGGAAUUUAUGCGCUGACAGGAAGGGCCCAGGGUCAGUCGCUCGGGUUUCUUCGGUGGUUCGCGCGCGCCUCACUGAUUUGCGGGACCCACCGGUCAGCUCAUCUCCUCCUUUCUUCGUCAACGGCCAACGCAGCUACCGCCGGAGAUCGCGCGAUCCGUGCGGACUCUCCUUUCGUUUUUCCCCUUCAGCCGUUAUAAGGAAGCCAGGCCGGGUCCUGCGCCCCUCCUUCGUCUCCACCAUGCAGUACCCACGGCGCUGGCAUCAAGUCCAUGAGCCAUCACUAGUUGCGCCGCUAAGCUUUGCCGCCGCUCUGGGAGGAGUGCCUGAGAAGAGAGAGGGCCGCCACCUAUGAAUUACUGCUCGUCGUCGCUAACGUCAUGGAGAGUUCGCGAGGAUCGUCUCUGGUGCUCAAGGAAUCUCACCGGCAGUCGGUCCGGGUGCGGGGCAUUAUGGUGGCGCCAUAAUUCCUCAUCGGAGCUCUAGCUUCGCCGCAGCUCCGCUUCAUGCUGCGGACCGGCAUCACUGCAACACCUCCGUCGGUAAUACCUUACCCGUUGUCCUUGCCUCCGCUCUUGCAUCGUGUUGUGUGUCUCCAAUCGAAGGUUAGUUCACUGGGCGAAGAACGAGUUGUCGUCGGUGGAUCUCCGCCGUGGGGAUCGCUUGCCGCUGACCGGGGUCUGCCUGGGGAGGAAGGCGAUCGGUGGGGCAUUGGAUGAGUCAUGUGCGGCUAGGACUAGAGUUGGGGAGAGGAUGCUCUGGGGCCGUUGAUCUAUUAGCGUGUGGAGGAGAUUUAGUUGGGCUGUAGCGUUUUGGGGAUCGAUCGCGGUCGUCGAUUGGCGAUCGAACGGUUUUCCUGGAGCUAGGGUGUCCACCGUCGGAUCGUGAUCAGACUGCUCACGGCGCGUACCGAUUCAAACCCUCGCGAUUUAAUCUGGCGCGUCCGGUGUUGAUCGGACGGCCCUGAGAUCACGAUACCCCUUCGCCGUUUGAUUUUGUAAAAGAGCCCCUGUAGAAUCCAUUAAUCAACCCGCCGUCCACAUUGAAGGUAGUCUGAGUCUGCGGGGUUUUUGCUCCGAGGCCCCUGCACUUCUCUGUAUUAGUGUGCCUAGUCCAGGAAGCUAAGAAAUUAGAUAAAUGGGAUUAGAAAAUGAUAUUUAAUGCAAAAAAAUAAAUGCUAGAAUGUGUUUAAAUCAUAGAAAUUUCAUAUGAUGUCCAAAUUAGUUCAUUCUAAUUCCUAUAAUUCUAUAAUAUUAUUUUUUUUUAUCACAUAGUACCUCUGUUUUGACAUAAAAGUCACAUUAAAUUUAUAUCCUAAAUAAUCUUGUAUCAAAUACAUAAAACCAUAGAAAAGUCAUAACUCCUUCGUUUUAACUCCGAUUUGAUCCGUUCAAGUUGCGUUAGUCUCAUAGAAAUGUGUAGAUCAUUAUUAUUCAGUUUGUUUCUAUGUUUGGUGUGAUGUUAAUUUUAUCUAUACCAUGUUUGUUUGUAUUGCUACGACUAGCAGCGAGGUUACGAGUUACUUGAAGAGCAAGUUGGUACCUGGAAUCUCAAGUGCCAGGCAAGUUGUGCCCUUGAUCACUUACUUUUCCCAGCCAUGUUCUUAUUAAUUUUAAUGAUCUGCAUAGGUUAAUUUUGAUGGGAG
rnacentral:lncRNA from 1 species